UACGGAGGGGGCUAGCGUUGUUCGGAAUUACUGGGCGUAAAGCGCACGUAGGCGGCUUUGUAAGUUAGAGGUGAAAGCCCGGGGCUCAACUCCGGAACUGACCUUAAAACUGCAUCGCUAGAAUUGUGGAGAGGUAAGUGGAAUUCCGAGUGUAGAGGUGAAAUUCGUAGAUAUUACGGAAGAACACCAGUGGCGAAGGCGACUUACUGGACACAUAUUGACGCUGAGGUGCGAAAGCGUGGGGAGCAAACAGG
rnacentral:rRNA from 1 species